rnacentral:rRNA from 1 species
GGUUAAUACCCUGAGUAGAUGACGGUACCCGAAUAAGAAGCACCGGCUAACUACGUGCCAGCAGCCGCGGUAAUACGUAGGGUGCGAGCGUUAAUCGGAAUUACUGGGCGUAAAGCGUGCGCAGGCGGUUUUGUAAGUCAGAUGUGAAAUCCCCGGGCUCAACCUGGGAACUGCAUUUGAGACUGCAAGACUGGAGUUUGGCAGAGGGGGGUGGAAUUCCACGUGUAGCAGUGAAAUGCGUAGAGAUGUGGAGGAACACCGAUGGCGAAGGCAGCCCCCUGGGUCACUACUGACGCUCAUGCACGAAAGCGUGGGGAGCAAACAGGAUUAGAUACCCUGGUAGUCCACGCCCUAAACGAUGUCAACUAGGUGUUGGGAGGGUUAAACCUUUUAGUGCCGUAGUAACAA